rnacentral:rRNA from 1 species
CGUGUAGGCGGCCCGUUAAGACAGGUGUGAAAUUCCUGGGCUCAACCCAGGACGUGCGCCUGUGACUGGCGGGCUUGAGUCCGGGAGAGGAUGGUGGAACUCCCAGUGUAGAGGUGAAAUUCGUAGAUAUUGGGAAGAACACCCGUGGCGAAGGCGGCCAUCUGGACCGGUACUGACGCUAAGGCGCGACAGCGUGGGGAGCAAACAGGAUUAGAUACCCUGGUAGUCCACGCCGUAAACGAUGAGUGCUAGACGUUGGGAAGCCUAGCUUUUCAGUGUCGCAGCUAACGCAUUAAGCACUCCGCCUGGGGAGUACGGCCGCAAGGUUGAA